UAGUACACCGAAGUCAAGCAUCAUCGGGCGCGGUCAGUACUUGGGUGGGUGACCACCUGGGAACACCGCGUGCCGUUG